rnacentral:tRNA from 1 species
UCCCUGGUGGUCUAGUGGUUAGGAUUUGGCACUCUCACUGCUGGGGCUGAGGUUCAAACCCUGGCCUGAGAA